ensembl:lncRNA
CGAUUUACAAUUUCUUCCGAAGAACACCUUCAAAAUCAUUAUAAGCUAAUUACUGAACUGCUACUUGGAAAUUAGGUCUGUAGAUUCAAGAUUUUACAGUCACAGUGCCACAGAUGUGCACCCAGUAUUACUUCCCUUCUGCCAGAUGUGCCUGCCUGGGAAGUAGAAGAGACAUUAACAUUCAACACACUGUCCUCUGAGGGACAAAAAGGACAUUUAAGGUUGGGAUGGAAAAGCCCUAUGAUCAGUACAUUCCCUAGUUCUGUCCUGUGAGUACGUGGGAUUGGGUUUUUUCUUGCAUGUGAUAAGAGAAGCUCUUCAUUCUUUUUAUAUUCCAUUUUGACUUGAG